UACAGAGGGUGCGAGCGUUAAUCGGAAUUACUGGGCGUAAAGGGCGCGUAGGUGGUUACUUAAGUCAGAUGUGAAAUCCCUGGGCUUAACCUAGGAAUUGCAUAUGAUACUGAGUAGCUAGAGUAUGGGAGAGGGAAGUGGAAUUUCCGGUGUAGCGGUGAAAUGCGUAGAUAUCGGAAGGAACAUCGGUGGCGAAGGCGGCUUCCUGGCCCAUUACUGACACUGAGGCGCGAAAGCGUGGGGAGCGAAC
rnacentral:rRNA from 1 species